GACGAACGCUGGCGGCGUGCCUAAUACAUGCAAGUCGAACGCAGUGGGGACGGGUGAGUAACACGUGGGUAACCUCCCAUCAGAGGGGAUAACACUUGGAAACAGGUGCUAAACCGAUACUGAUGGAAGGACCCGCGGUGCAUUAGCUAGUUGGUGGGGUAACGGCUCACCAAGGCCACGAUGCAUAGCGGACAGGGGAGGGUGACCGGCCACACUGGGACUGAGACACGGCCCAAACCCCUACGGGAGGCAGCAGUAGGGAAUCUUCGGAAAUGGACGAAAGGCUGACCGAGCAACGCCGCGUGAGUGAAGAAGGUUUUCGGAUCGUAAAACUCUGUUGUUAGAGAAGCGGUAGCUAACCAGAAAGCCAGGGCUAACUACGUGCCAGCCGCCGCGGUAAUUC
rnacentral:rRNA from 1 species